GAUUAAGGAUUUUUUGUGGACAAAUAAGUGUACAUUUGAGGCUGGACAACAAGUAACCUCAUAGUCAGAGAUGUUAUUCCCAUGGAAACAGAUGUUUCUGCUUUUCUCUGUUGGCUGCUUUGGAGGUAUUGAACACUUAAAGACAAAAAUAAGAAGUACUGUAUCUGUGCGGGAAGGGCAAGGGGUUGUUCUCCUCUGUGGAGCACCAAUUCAUUCUGGAGAACUUUCCUAUGCUUGGAUCUUCAAUGAAUACCCAACAUUUGUGCAAGAAGAUAAUCGGAGAUUUGUUUCUCAGGAAACUGGACAUCUCUACAUAGCUAAAGUAGAGCCAUCUGAUGUAGGAAAUUAUACCUGUGUCGUAACCAGUGCUGUAACUAACACCAACACCCUUGGAUCACCAACACCUUUAGUGCUACGGACUGAUGGUGUGAUGGGGGAAUAUGAGCCCAAAAUAGAAGUUCAGUUUCCUGAAACAGUUCCUGCUGCUAAAGGAUCAACUGUGAAACUAGAAUGCUUUGCCCUUGGAAAUCCAGUUCCUCGAAUUAACUGGAGAAGAGCUGAUGGGACACCAUUUCCAAGCAAAGUAAUGUUGAGAAAAUCCAAUGGCAUGAUUGAAAUUCCAAAUUUCCAACAAGAAGAUGCUGGUCUUUAUGAGUGUAUCACUGAAAAUACUAGAGGGAAGAAUAUUGCAAAGGGACGGCUCACAUAUUAUGCCAAGCCUCACUGGGUUCAACUGAUAAAAGAUUUUGAAGCUGCAGUGGAGGACAACAUAGACUGGGAGUGCAGAGCAAGUGGCAAACCUAAGCCUUCCUACAGGUGGCUAAGAAAUGGAGAACCUCUAGCAUUAGAGGGAAGAAUACAAAUUGAAAAUGGAGCUUUGACUAUAACAAACUUAAACUUGACAGAUUCUGGCACGUACCAGUGUAUAGCAGAAAACAAACACGGUACAAUAUAUGCCAGUGCCAAUCUCCGAGUUGUAGCUUCUGCUCCUGACUUUUCUAAAAGCCCAGUGAAGAAAUUGAUUCAGCUUCUAAAGGGCAGCACAGCUCAUUUUGAGUGCAAACCAAAAGCUUCCCCUAAAGCGACAACUAUUUGGAAAAAGGGAGGUGAGCUGCUCCAAGAAAAUGAAAGAAUAUCAUUCUUAAAAGAUGGAAGCUUCCAAAUAACUAAUGUGAGUAAAUCAGAUGCUGGAAGCUAUACCUGCCUGGCAGAAAACAAGUUUGGAAAAGCUAGCAGCUCAACUGCCUUAUUAGUAACAGAACCAACCCGGAUAACAUUGGCACCAUCAAAUAUGGAUGUGACUGUAGGGGAAAGUAUAAUUUUACCCUGCCAGGUUCAACAUGACCCACUCCUGGAUAUAAGUUUCACAUGGUAUUUUAAUAGUGCAUUGACUGACUUCAGAAAAGAUGCAUCCCAUUUUGAGAGAGUGGGUGGGAGUGCAUCUGGAGACUUAAUGAUUAGAAAUAUUCAGCUGAAACACAGUGGAAAAUAUGUGUGCACAGUGAAGACUGAAGUGGAUAGUGUAUCAUCUGCAGCAGAUCUUAUAGUACGAGGUUCACCUGGACCUCCAGAGCAUGUAAAAGUGGAUGAAAUAACAGCUACAACCGCUCACAUUUCUUGGUAUGAGGGCUUAGAUAAUCACAGUCCAAUCACAGGCUACACUGUUCAGGCCAGGACACCAUUUUCAGUGGGUUGGCAAAGAGCCAGAACAGUUCCUGAUGCCAUCGAUGGGAGAACAUUCAUGGCUACUGCAGUAGAUUUAAACCCUUGGGUUGAAUAUGAAUUUCGUGUAGUUGCCAACAACAAAAUUGGAGGUGGAGAACCUAGUUUACCCUCAGAAAAAGUAAGAACUGAAGAGGCAGUUCCAGAAGUACCACCAUCUGAAGUAAGUGGAGGUGGAGGCAGCAGGUCUGAAUUGGUGAUAACAUGGGAUCCAGUUCCUGAAGAAUUACAGAAUGGUGAAGGAUUUGGUUAUGUGGUUGCUUUCCGACCUCUUGGCAUUACAACCUGGAUACAGACAGUUGUUACAUCACCUGAUACCCCAAGAUAUGUCUUUAGGAAUGAAAGCAUCUUCCCAUUUUCACCCUAUGAAGUCAAGGUUGGCGUAUACAAUAAUAAAGGAGAGGGGCCAUUUAGUCCAGUGGCCACAGUGUAUUCUGCUGAAGAGGAGCCUACAAUCGCUCCUUCUGGUGUUUCUGCAAAUAGUCUCUCUUCUUCCACAAUUGAAGUUACCUGGAUUCCCAUUCCUUGGAAAAUGGGCAGUGGGAGAUUAUUGGGCUAUGAGGUAAGAUACUGGAACAAUGGUCUGCAAGAACAGUCUUCAAACAAAGUAAGAGCCACCGGAAAGGAGACAUCGGUGAAAAUAACAGGCUUGAUGAGCAACUUGGUAUAUUAUACAGCUGUUCGAGCAUACAACAGUGCAGGAGCAGGUCCUUUCAGUGCCACUGUCAAUGCUACCACAAAAAAACCACCACCCAGCCAGCCUCCAGGAAAUUUAGAGUGGAACAUUACAGAUUCCAGGGUAGUGCUGAACUGGGAACAGGUGCAUGCCAUGGACAAUGAGUCAGAAGUAGUGGGCUACAAGGUUUUAUAUUGGACUAGCAGUCAGAACCAGCUCAGUAUCCUGGACACAAACAGAACAUCUGCAGAACUUUUGCUUCCUUUAAACAAUGAUUAUGUUAUAGAAGUGAAAGCAGUGACUGAUGGUGGAGAUGGCAUUAGCAGUGACCAGAUUAAAGUCCCUAAAUUAGCAAAUGCCUGUGCUUAAUUGGAGAGAUGAGAUUUAUUGGCUGCAUAAACAUAAUCAAGCCCAGACACAUACAGUCAGCAUUUUCUACAGGUAUGGAUGCAAGGGGAAGCUGUGCAGGAAUCUUAAAUUGUAUUUCCAGCUUGAUGUCAAUAACUCUGCUCUUGAUUUUCAAUGCAAUAUUGUGAUAGUGUAUUUUCAGAUAGUGCAAGACCAGAUGUAUCAUUUACUUUAAAGUGCUUUUUAAGACAACCAUUACAAGACCAACAGAAAUAAUAGGUGGGAGUUAUGCAUGCAUUUACUACCAGUCUGCAUUUAAACAUUUUUUGUAUCCUUUCUGAUACUUCAUUCUAAAGAAAUAAAGAUCAUGUCCAUCUCAAACAAUUCCUUCUAAAGGAAUAUAAAAUGCCUUAAGACUUAAUGAACCAAAGGAUUUUUUACAUUACAUAUUUCUGAUGUGACAAAAAUAAGAAGAUCAGCAUUGGAAAAAGCUUUGAGAGUCUUUAUGUUUUCCAAGUAACAAGAAAUUAUUUUAACGUUAUCUGAAAUAAAACAUUCUAAUACUAAUUUGCAUUAAUUACAAAUUAUAUUUCAACACUGUUUGAUGAAAAACCUUGAAUAAUUUUCUUAAAGCCUCUCAGUGCUAAACUUCAUUUGAAUAAAUGAUUAUCUCUGUUUAUAUUCAUAUAGACUAUACAUAUUUACUUUUGUUGUAAAUAGUUAAAUAUAAAAAAGCUGGUUUACUAAAAACCUUAUCAUGCUUCCAAUUUUUUUUUUGCCUCAUUAAUGUUUGGUAGCUUCUGCUAGUUUCCCCCACCCACCCAUUUUUGUUUGUUUGUUUGCUUUAUUUGUAGAGACUGUUUAAGGAGACAGUAUUCUUCUCUGUUCUAGACUGAUGUAAUCUUCUAGAAUGUCUUAGUUGAAAAUGUAUUUGUACAGUUUCAAAAUUUAAAAAUGGAAAAUCCCAGGAUUGGCUUUUACAUUAGAGCACUGAAUGGUACCUUAUCUUUUUCAUGUCUUUCCACCCACAUAAAAAAGGAAUUGUACUUCUUUUUGGUUCAAAACCAUAUUAAUCGAUGAAAGUACUUCAGAAGUUUUACAGGACAAAUUCACUUGGAACUAUGUUCUUCCAUAGAGCUGUCAAUUCGGUCCUUAACAUUUAGAAUCCUCUUGAUAUAUCAAACUUUAAAAGUAUCUGAACUUAUUUUAUUUAUGCUUGCACAUCCUUUUGGUGUAAACUACUGUAGCUCUUCUUGUUCCCUUAGUUUUACAUCAUAUUUUUGUCUAUAUUAGUAUUUUGCUUUGUAUUUUUUUAGAAACAGAUGAAGUGCCCAGAAUAGAACAUCACACUUCCAGUACAAUGCACCAGAGCCUUAUAGCCAGGAAAUAACUUUCUAAAUUAUAUGUAAUGUGUUUGAAUAUCCAACCCACAAUUUGUUGCUGUCCUAAAUGCCAGAUUAUACUCUCUUUGGAUUUAGGUCCAACUGCAAUGUUUCUACCCAUUGUUUAGAAUUAUUCUGGAUGAUAGAUUCACUCCUGCUCUCUUAUUUAUAUAAACAAAUUUAAUUUUCUUUUUGACCAAUGUUUUCAUUCCAAAUAAUGUAUAAGCAUCCCUGUUUGGCAUACCUUGUUUACAAUUUCAAUGCUUCUAAAAAUAAUUCUCACUCUAAAUAUAAUUUGUAUGGAUUCACUUUUUCUGACCUUUCUACUGAACACUUGAGGUAGACUCUUGAACAAGAGUUGUAAAAAUUCAAACAUUGCUCUAUAUUUUAUUAGGUUUUUCAGAACAAAAAAUAAUCAUAUGACUACAGCUUUGACAGUUUCUCCUUUUUGUGUCUGUAUAUAAUGUACAUAGUAAAAUAUAACACUGUAGCUUCUGGCUCCUCAACAUGGAAAAUGGGAACUACUGAUGCUUCCAAAUACUUAUCUUUCAAUGGGAAUAAAGAUCCUUUACAUAAUACAUAGCAAAUGUUCAUCCACUGAAUGGUAAAUUUACCAUUCGUGUUACAAGAAAAUUCUAUGCCAUGUUCCUAUUACUACCAUUUUCAUGAUCAACUUAACUGAAUUUACCUUCUACUGCUAUUGUCUCCAUGAGAUGUUUAGAAUAUACUAGUUUCAUAUUGAAAAGUUUUACCUAAUUUUCUUUCAACUAUUAGCUGUGUGUGUAUAUAUCCUAUGGCUAUCUGUAUGUAUUUUUUUAUUCUAAUAAAAUAUUUAUAAUA